AUAUAUUUUCUUAUGCUACCCAAGACCACUUUCCAGAAAAAGGCAUAAAUGUUUCUUUCCAGAAAGUGGUAUGGAGAAUAUGUGGAAGCUCUGGCCUUGCGACUUAAAAGUUAAUGAAAGACUCGAAAGUGUGAGUGAAAGCUAGGAGUAGAAAAGAUGCUACAACAGAGAGUUUCAUGAAAGCAUGUGGCCAAUUGUUCCUGCAUCAAAAUUAUGAAAGUUCUUGCAAAUUAGGUGGACAUCAUUCAUAUACUCUUUCAAGGACAUUACGACACUUAAAAUGGAAGAUUCGUGAAGAUAAUUGAACCGGAGAUGCUUUCUGUGAUUGAUUUCUAAGGGUUGUAAGUGAUAUCAGAGGUAGAUGUUCAGACUAAUAUUCUCUAUUAUAGUUAGAAACGUUUUGAAUUUUAGAAGUAAGUUGUUUUACCAAUUGUAUAUUAAGUAAUGUUCUACAGUGGAUUUUGAAAUGUUUUUAAAAGACUGUGUGAACUUAAUUUGUUUUCAUAAAAUUAUGUGUAAUGUG